AACUUUCAACAACGUGUCACUUGGCUCUCGCGUCGAUUAAGAACGCAGCGAAAUGCGAUAAGUAAUGUGAAUUGCAGAAUUCAGUGAAUCAUCGAAUCUUUGAACGCACCUUGCGCUCUUUGGUAUUCCGAAGAGCAUGCCUGUUUGAGUGUCAUGAAAAUAUCAACCUUUACUUGGGUUUAGUGCUCUUGUCUUGGCUUGGAUUUGGCUGUUUUCCGCUCGAAAGAGUCGGCUCAGCUUAAAAGUAUUAGCUGGAUCUUUCUUUGAGAUUUGGUUUGACUUGGCGUAAUAAGUUAUUUCGCUGAGGACAAUCUUCGGAUUGGCCGAUUUUCUGGGACGUUUGUCCGCUUUCUAAUACAAGUUCUAGCUUGCUAGACAUGACUUUUUUAUUAUCUGGCCUCAAAUCAGGUAGGACUACCCGCUGAACUUAAGCAUAUCAAUAAGCGGAGGCU
rnacentral:misc_RNA from 1 species